rnacentral:rRNA from 1 species
GUAAAGUGGCGAACGGGUGAGUAACGCGUGGGUAACCUGCCCCUGAAUCUGGAAUAACUUCGCGAAAGCGAGGCUAAUACCGGAUAUUGUCCCAGGGACCGUGGUCCUUGUGAUGAAAGGUGACCUCUUCACGAAAGUUGUCGUUCAGGGAGGGGCCCGCGUACCAUUAGCUAGUUGGUAGGGUAAUGGCCUACCAAGGCGAUGAUGGUUAGCUGGUCUGAGAGGAUGACCAGCCACACUGGCACUGAAACACGGGCCAGACUCCUACGGGAGGCAGCAGUGAGGAAUCUUGCGCAAUAGGGGAAACCCUGACGCAGCAACGCCGCGUGAGCGAAGAAGGCCUUCGGGUCGUAAAGCUCUGUCAAGUGGGAAAAAAGCUUACUGGUGAAUAGCCGGUAAGACUGAUGGUACCAUUAAAGGAAGCACCGGCUAACUCCGUGCCAGCAGCCGCGGUAAUACGGAGGGUGCAAGCGUUGUUCGGAAUUACUGGGCGUAAAGGGCGUGUAGGCGGUGUGGUAAGUCAGAUGUGAAAGCCCUGGGCUUAACCCAGGAAGUGCAUUUGAAACUGCCACGCUUGAGUAUGGGAGAGGAGAGUGGAAUUCCCAGUGUAGAGGUGAAAUUCGUAGAUAUUGGGAGGAACACCCGUGGCGAAGGCGACUCUCUGGACCAAUACUGACGCUGAGGCGCGAAAGCGUGGGGAGCAAACAGGAUUAGAUACCCUGGUAGUCCACGCCGUAAACGAUGAGCACUAGGUGUAGCGGGUAUUGACCCCUGCUGUGCCGUAGCUAACGCAUUAAGUGCUCCGCCUGGGGGAGUACGGCCGCAAGGCUAAAACUCAAAGGGAAUUGAACGGGGG